CGGAAACACUUCCGGACAGGCUUGGGUCUGGACACCAGUGUGCGGAAGUGCUUCUGCU
rnacentral:pre_miRNA from 1 species